UCUACAGGUACAGGCAGCCCAGCAAGCCAGGGAAAGAUUUCCAAGCCGACAGAUGCGCGAACUGAAAAAGGAGAUGCAGGAUCUAUGGCGGGAAGGCCUGGGAGUGCGGCGAAGCUCCCCACGCCCUCGGAUUCCGCCUGACUUCUCGGGUCUGCCCAGCUUCUCCAUCACCAGGGGCUCGCUCCGCUCCGCAGCGGCACCCAACACCUUCGCGGUCCACCGCACUGCUGCCCACCUGGUUUCCUGCCAGGGCUCCCGCCCACCGCACGGUGACUGACAGGCCGGCGCGGACGGACGACCCCUCCGCGGGAAGACACCCCACGCCUAACUUUGAAACGCGGGGACCCCCGCUCUACUCAGCAGCGCCCGGACCGCCGCCCCCUCCCCCCCGGCUCCUCGGGCCGCUUUCCACCUCCAGCCCCGGGCUCCCCGCGUGAGCUCGCGCCCCGGCUCCCGGGCCUGCAGGGGGCUGGAGACAAAGGCUGCGGCGGCGGCGCGGCGGCCGCCCGGACCGUCCCCUCGGGGCCAGCGCCGCCCCCACCCCACCGGCUCGCGCGCCGCGGCUUCGCCUCGCCUCACCCGGGGUUCUCGGCCGGGGCUCCCGCGCCGGCCGCAGCUUCAGCCCGACGAACAAUGGCAGGAGGCGGCGCCCGCGUCCGAGGCUCCGGCC
rnacentral:lncRNA from 1 species